rnacentral:rRNA from 1 species
CCCGCACAAGCGGAGGAACAUGUGGUUUAAUUCAAUGAUACGCGAGGAACCUUACCCGGGCUUGAAAUGCAUCUGACGUAGGCAGAGACGUCUAUUCCCUUCGGGGCGGAUGUGUAGGUGCUGCAUGGUUGUCGUCAGCUCGUGCCGUGAGGUGUCGGCUUAAGUGCCAUAACGAGCGCAACCCUCAUCAUUAGUUACCAACAGGUCAAGCUGGGGACUCUAGUGAGACUGCCAUCGUAAGAUGUGAGGAAGGUGGGGAUGACGUCAAAUCAGCAUGGCCCUUACGUCCCGGGCGACACACGUGUUACAAUGGGUGGUACAAAGGGCAGCUACCUGGCGACAGGAUGCUAAUCUCGAAAACCACUCUCAGUUCGGAUCGGAGUCUGCAACUCGACUCCGUGAAGCUGGAUUCGCUAGUAAUCGCGCAUCAGCUAUGGCGCGGUGAAUACGUUCCCGGGCCUU